GUAGUCCACGCCCUAAACGAUGCUCACUAGGUGUUGGGGAAGCGAUUCCUUGGUACCGAAGCUAACGCGUGAAGUGAGCCGCCUGGGGAGUACGGCCGCAAGGUUAAAACUCAAAGGAAUUGACGGGGACCCGCACAAGCGGUGGAUGAUGUGGAUUAAUUCGAUGCAACGCGAACAACCUUACCUACCCUUGACAUGUCCGGAAGGCCCCUGAGAGGGGGCUGUGCCUGAAAGGGAACUGGAACACAGGUGCUGCAUGGCUGUCGUCAGCUCGUGUCGUGAGAUGUUGGGUUAAGUCCCGCAACGAGCGCAACCCUUGUCCAUAGUUGCUACGCAAGGGCACUCUAUGGAGACUGCCGGUGACAAACCGGAGGAAGGUGGGGAUGACGCCAAGUCCUCAUGGCCCUUAUGGGUAGGGCUUCACACGUCAUACAAUGGACGGUACAGAGGGUCGCCAACCCGCGAGGGGGGGCCAAUCCCAGAAAGCCGUUCGUAGUCCGGAUUGCAGUCUGCAACUCGACUGCAUGAAGUCGGAAUCGCUAGUAAUCGCGGAUCAGCAUGUCGCGGUGAAUACGUUCCCGGGUCUUGUACACACCGCCCGUCACACCAUGGGAGCGGGAUGUACCAGAAGUAGGUAGGCUAACCGCAAGGGGGCCGCUUACCACGGUGCGUUUCGUGACUGGGGUGAAGUCGUAACAAGGUAGCCGAAUCGANNUCCCGCGGC
rnacentral:rRNA from 1 species